ensembl:lncRNA
GUCAGAACCACAGGGAGUCAGUUAGCAGGUCAGAGCCACAGGAGUCAGUUAGCAGGUUGGAACCACAGGGAGACAGUUAGCAGGUUGGAGACACAGGGGAGAGGGUUAGCAGGUUGGAGCCACAGGGAGUCAGUUAGCAGGUCGGAGCCACAGGGAGACAGUUAGCAGGUCAGAGCCACAGGGAGUCAGUUAGCAGGUUGGAGACACAGGGAGUCAGUUAGCAGGUCGGAGCAGCAGGGAGACAGUUAGCAGGUCAGAGCCACAGGGAGUCAGUUAGCAGGUCAGAGCCACAGGGAGUCAGUUAGCAGGUCGGAGUCAGAGGGAAACAGUUAGCAGGUCGGAGCCACAGGGAGUCAGUUAGCAGGUCAGAGCCACAGGGAGCCAGUUAGCAGGUCAGAUCCACAGGGACCCAGUUAACAGGUCAGAGCCACAGGGAGCCAGUUAGCAGGUCAGAGCCACAGGGAGACAGUUAGC